CCCUCCCCCAAAGAAUCACGCAUGCAGAAUUGGGGGAGUCGAGGAAUCUGGGCUCCUCCUGAUUUGUGCACGCUGAUGAGAUAAUUCUUUGUUUAAGAAAUUCCAAUACCUUUCACAGGAUGAAACUCUGCUAUUCAGCCAACAGAAAUGUGACUUAAAAGUAGCCAAAUUGCAAAUCUUUAAUUGCCAUCCAGUCACCUUUCCAUACCUUUCAGUUAACAGCUGACUGAAUGACAGAGUUUCACUGUGGUUUAAAUAAUCUGUACAAUGUAAUGAAAUAAAUUGAAAAUGUAUAUUGCAGUUUUUAUAGUUACACCAACAGUAGGCAUAUUGUAUAGAGAAUUUUACAGAUCAUUUACUGUAUCAUGUUUAAAAAUUCUCAUCUGUGCAUAUUAUACAUGUAAUACAUUUGUACAUCUAUUUGCAUUCAUAUUGGAAAAUUGGGACUGGCAUUAAACAUUUAAAAAAUGU
rnacentral:sRNA from 1 species